rnacentral:rRNA from 1 species
AAGCGUGCGCAGGCGGUUUUGUAAGACUGUCGUGAAAUCCCCCGGGCUCAACCUGGGAAUGGCGAUGGUGACUGCAAGGCUAGAGUUUGGCAGAGGGGGGUAGAAUUCCACGUGUAGCAGUGAAAUGCGUAGAUAUGUGGAGGAACACCGAUGGCGAAGGCAGCCCCCUGGGUCAAAACUGACGCUCAUGCACGAAAGCGUGGGGAGCAAACAGGAUUAGAUACCCCAGU